UACGGGGGGAGCAAGCGUUGUUCGGAUUUACUGGGCGUAAAGGGCGCGUAGGCGGCCAGCACAAGUCAGUUGUGAAAUCUCCGAGCUUAACUCGGAAAGGUCAACUGAUACUGUGCGGCUAGAGUGCGGAAGGGGCAACUGGAAUUCUUGGUGUAGCGGUGAAAUGCGUAGAUAUCAAGAGGAACACCUGCGGCGAAGGCGGGUGGCUGGGCCGACACUGACGCUGAGGCGCGAAAGCCAGGGGAGCGAACGGG
rnacentral:rRNA from 1 species